AGGUAAGCUACUAAGAGCGAAUGGUGGAUGCCUUGACUGGUAAAGGCGAUGAAGGACGUACUAGACUGCGAUAAGCUACGGGGAGCUGUCAAGAAGCUUUGAUCCGUAGAUUUCCGAAUGGGGCAACCCAAUGUAUAGAGAUAUACAUUACCUAUAUAGGAGCGAACGAGGGGAAUUGAAACAUCUUAGUACCCUCAGGAAAAGAAAUCAAUAGAGAUUGCGUCAGUAGCGGCGAGCGAAAGCGCAAGAGGGCAAACCCAGUGCUUGCACUGGGGGUUGUAGGACUGCAAUAUGCAAGAGGUAAGUUUAGCAGAACAUUCUGGAAAGUAUAACCAUAGAGGGUGAUAGUCCCGUAUGCGAAAAACAAACCUUAGCUAGCAGUAUCCUGAGUAGGGCGGGACACGAGGAAUCCUGUCUGAAUCCGGGUCGACCACGAUCCAACCCUAAAUACUAAUACCAGAUCGAUAGUGCACAAGUACCGUGAGGGAAAGGUGAAAAGAACUGAGGUGAUCAGAGUGAAAUAGAACCUGAAACCAUUUGCUUACAAUCAUUCAGAGCCCUAUGUAGCAAUACAGGGUGAUGGACUGCCUUUUGCAUAAUGAGCCUGCGAGUUGUGGUGUCUGGCAAGGUUAAGCAAACGCGAAGCCGUAGCGAAAGCGAGUCUGAAUAGGGCGCUUAGUCAGAUGCUGCAGACCCGAAACGAAGUGAUCUAUCCAUGAGCAAGUUGAAGCUAGUGUAAGAACUAGUGGAGGACUGAACCCAUAGGCGUUGAAAAGCCCCGGGAUGACUUGUGGAUAGGGGUGAAAGGCCAAUCAAACUUCGUGAUAGCUGGUUCUCUCCGAAAUAUAUUUAGGUAUAGCGUUGUGUCGUAAUAUAAGGGGGUAGAGCACUGAAUGGGCUAGGGCAUACACCAAUGUACCAAACCCUAUCAAACUCCGAAUACCUUAUAUGUAAUCACAGCAGUCAGG
rnacentral:rRNA from 1 species